rnacentral:lncRNA from 13 species
CCCCUUUACCCCACCCUCUCUCUCUCUUUCCCCCAACCCUUUACCCCACCCUCUCUCUCUUUCUCACUCCCUCCCCUUUCUCUCUCUCCGCUCCUCCUCCUUUCUCUCUCCCUUCUCUCCCAUGCUCUCUUUCUCAGUCAUAGUGUUUCAUCUUUCAGGUCUUUAACAGCUGGAUUACAGUGUAAUUAUGGGACCAAUAUAAAGCACUAAUUGUUAGAUUGUUUCACAUUGAGAGAUGCUGGAGUCUCUGGAGGACCACGCCCAUCCCAGAGUUCAAUGGGCCGAAGGUCUUUUGUCCUCCACUGCUUCGGUCAAGACAGCGAGCAAGAAGACACCUGACCACCUCUAAACCUCUACCAAGCUUCUCCAGCCCUGUCUGAUCCUCUGUUCACGCGCAGCUGAACAACUCCUAGCCUCUGUUAGGCCAGUCGGCAGACCCGCUCUACUCAGCCAGGAGUGACUGAACGAGGGGAGCAGAGAGACCUUGGCCCCUCUCGCCCAGAACAGGACCAAACAGACACAGGCUUUUAUGAAGGUGUGUUCUGGGGUGUGAGCCCCCGGGGAUCAGGUGUGUGGAGGGUCAGCGAGGGGAGCUGUUAGGGUGUGUGGUGGGGGAGGGGCGAGGAGUGUGUAAAAUUUACACAAGGCAGCAGGGUGUGGGUCCAUUCAUUUUCAAUUCAGUCAAUUCAAAUUCAAAAAUGUGCAUCCGAUAUCAAAUGAAUUUCCUGAAUUGACUAAACUUGAAUGGAACAGUACAGAGCUGUGGGAUCAAAGUCACGGCCAUAUAUGGAGUCUACGCUGAGUGAGCCCUCAGAA